GGUCAGGUCGAGUAGACCAAGGCGCUUGAGAGAACUCUGCUGAAGGAACUAGGCAAAAUGGUACCGUAACUUCGGGAGAAGGUACGCUGUUGUUGGUGAUGGAACUCGCUUCCUGAGCUGACGACAGCCGCAGAAACCAGGCCGCUGCAACUGUUUAUUAAAAACAUAGCACUCUGCAAACACGAAAGUGGACGUAUAGGGUGUGAUGCCUGCCCGGUGCUGGAAGGUUAAUUGAUGGGGUUAGCGUAAGCGAAGCUCUUGAUCGAAGCCCCAGUAAACGGCGGCCGUAACUAUAACGGUCCUAAGGUAGCGAAAUUCCUUGUCGGGUAAGUUCCGACCUGCACGAAUGGCAUAAUGAUGGCGGCGCUGUCUCCAGCAGAGGCUCAGUGAAAUCGAAAUCGCUGUGAAGAUGCAGUGUACCCGCGGCUAGACGGAAAGACCCCGUGAACCUUUACUGCAGCUUGACACUGAACUUUGACCUUACUUGUGUAGGAUAGGUGGGAGGCUUUGAAGCUGGAACGCUAGUUCCAGUGGAGCCGUCCUUGAAAUACCACCCUGGUAAUGUUGAGGUUCUAACUCUGUCCCGUGAUCCGGGACGAGGACCGUGUCUGGUGGGUAGUUUGACUGGGGCGGUCUCCUCCUAAAGAGUAACGGAGGAGUACGAAGGUGCGCUCAGCGUGGUCGGAAAUCACGCGUAGAGUAUAAAGGCAAAAGCGCGCUUAACUGCGAGACCCACAAGUCGAGCAGGUACGAAAGUAGGUCUUAGUGAUCCGGUGGUUCUGUAUGGAAGGGCCAUCGCUCAACGGAUAAAAGGUACUCUGGGGAUAACAGGCUGAUACCGCCCAAGAGUUCAUAUCGACGGCGGUGUUUGGCACCUCGAUGUCGGCUCAUCUCAUCCUGGGGCUGAAGCAGGUCCCAAGGGUAUGGCUGUUCGCCAUUUAAAGAGGUACGCGAGCUGGGUUUAGAACGUCGUGAGACAGUUCGGUCCCUAUCUACCGUGGGCGCUGGAAAUUUGAGAGGAUCUGCUCCUAGUACGAGAGGACCAGAGUGGACGAACCUCUGGUGUACCGGUUGUGACGCCAGUCGCAUCGCCGGGUAGCUAUGUUCGGAAGGGAUAACCGCUGAAAGCAUCUAAGCGGGAAGCCUACCUCAAGAUAAGAUUUCCCUAGGACUUUAUGUCCUCUAAAGAGCCGUUCGAGACUAGGACGUUGAUAGGUUGGAUGUGGAAGCAUAGUGAUAUGUGAAGCUGACCAAUACUAAUUGCUCGUGAGGCUUGACUAU
rnacentral:rRNA from 1 species